CCGCAACACAACUCGAAAUGAGCUUCUUUUGUAAACAAUUUUCAAACGAGUCCACAUAACUUUUAUACAUAAAUUAUCGAAAACCGCACGUUGUCUUUGUCCUCUCAGGCAAAAAAAUCCCAACGAGGGGCACGGUUGUGCAUAAGUGCAUAUCCACGCUCCCGCGCCUCCAACCGAGUGCAAAAUUAUCGAAAACCGCAUGUUGUCUUAUGCACUUAUGCACUGCACGCGGAGUCCCAGUGCACUGCACCACCCAACCCGCGCUGCUCCAGGGACGGACGAGGGGGUGUGGAAGGUUAUAGGAGAUUGAAUCAAACUGCAUAAAGAUUGCCAUGGAACCGCACGCUUCCGCGUUGCCGCACUGCAUCUGGAAGAAACCUCGCCGGUGGCAACUCGAUCCAAGGGGAGCCCAAGCUUAACACAGGUGGGGGCGAUGCAUAUUGCAGGUGCCCGUGGGACGGACUGCAACAACAGGCAGACUCGACUGCUCGACCAUGGCUCCACGAUCUGUAGUGAGGGGUGGCUAGGACUCCUCCCGCUUUUCCUUCUCGCCCUGAUGAUCAUCGACCUUGGGCGAAAACAAGCUGCGUCUCAUGGGAACUGUACUGCACGUCCGCACAUAUCCAAAAUCUGAAAAAACGCAAAGAACAAUUUUUGUGAGCUGCAAUUCCACGAGUACUACACAGCAAAAUCUGCAACACAAAAAAAAUCAAGCGGCACCAGGGGAUCGAGCCGAACAUCGAUUCCUUACUGCAGCUCACAAAAUUACAAGGGGAGAUGUAAAGAACUGCACGGUGUCGUUGUCUGUACUUCAUCCUGCGGGCACCUGGGACCUCGCCGGGAGUUGAGCAAAGGGACGUUGGCAGAGAGAGGUCGGAGGACAGGGGAGCGUGGCGGCCAGCGCUCAUACUACCCUGCGAGGGUAGCGGGGGUGCCCGGACAUGGGGAGGAGGAAGCAGAAGGCUAUCCGCACUGCAUGGGCGCAUCAGGCGAAUUGCAUGGGGCUGGGGGUGGAGGCCCUCUUUUCUGCUCGUCGUGGUGUUCUCCGGCGAAUCCGCUAGUCGCCUGCACACCCACCCCCCAUGGAGAUGAUGGCCGGAUCCAGCGGGCGAGGGGUGGCCAGUGGUCACCUGCAGAAGUGGAAGAUAGGAAGGCGACGCACAUCCGGUCGGCCCGGCCGAAGGAUGAAUCGCGCUGCCUCAGUGGUGAGCUCCUUUUAGGGCACGGUGGCUGGCCCUCCCCACCACCGGCCACCCGCGCCGUGCAGAGGUUGGGGGAAGGGAGUGGAGCCCGAGAUCCAACGGAUCCGCAUACGGGAGAAGGUGGUGGGCGGGUCGUGUCGCCGGGGAUCGCCGGAUCUGAAGGUGGCCGGCAGUAGGUUCCAGUGGCGGCGGAGAGCGGUGUAUUGGGACUGGGCAAGGCAGUGGCGCGCCGGGUCAGAAGGAAGUAGAGGGGAUCCCCAGAGGUUCGGCUGCCGGCGGCGGCAGCAGUGGAAGAAGGUGGAGGGGAUCACCAUGGAUUAUCCAGGGUGGGAGGCGUGGGUUUGUGCGGGAUGUGGGGGGAUGCGAGCGAGGUUGGGGAUAGGGAGGAGGUAGUGGGUGGUCGUGGGUUUGGGUGGUUGGGGUUUUUCCCCUCUGCGUGCAGUUCGUCUGUGCUGGCCGUUUAGCUCGGUUCGGGGUCUGGAUAAGUUUUCAGGUGUUAUCAGAAUAAGGUCUUAAAGGAUGUUAUUAGAAUAGACCUAUCUUAUAUAUAUAUAUAGGGUGGGUUUAUUAUGAUAACACUCUUAAGACCCUUAUUCUGCACACCAACGUGCUUAUUCUGAUAACACCCCCUGAUGACCGCACCCCCGAAUCCCCCACUACCUUCGUCAACGUCCUCUCACGCAGCCCGCAGGGGCUGGC
rnacentral:lncRNA from 1 species